rnacentral:rRNA from 1 species
GGGGUACUCGAGUGGCGAACGGGUGAGUAACACGUGGGUGAUCUGCCCUGCACUUUGGGAUAAGCCUGGGAAACUGGGUCUAAUACCGAAUACACCUCGCUGGCCGCAUGGUCUGGUGGGGGAAAGCUUUUGCGGUGUGGGAUGGGCCCGCGGCCUAUCAGCUUGUUGGUGGGGUGAUGGCCUACCAAGGCGACGACGGGUAGCCGGCCUGAGAGGGUGACCGGCCACACUGGGACUGAGAUACGGCCCAGACUCCUACGGGAGGCAGCAGUGGGGAAUAUUGCACAAUGGGCGCAAGCCUGAUGCAGCGACGCCGCGUGGGGGAUGACGGCCUUCGGGUUGUAAACCCCUUUCAGCACAGACGAAGCGCAAGUGACGGUAUGUGCAGAAGAAGGACCGGCCAACUACGUGCCAGCAGCCGCGGUAAUACGUAGGGUCCGAGCGUUGUCCGGAAUUACUGGGCGUAAAGAGCUCGUAGGUGGUUUGUCGCGUUGUUCGUGAAAACUCACAGCUCAACUGUGGGCGUGCGGGCGAUACGGGCAGACUGGAGUACUGCAGGGGAGACUGGAAUUCCUGGUGUAGCGGUGGAAUGCGCAGAUAUCAGGAGGAACACCGGUGGCGAAGGCGGGUCUCUGGGCAGUAACUGACGCUGAGGAGCGAAAGCGUGGGGAGCGAACAGGAUUAGAUACCCUGGUAGUCCACGCCGUAAACGGUGGGUACUAGGUGUGGGUUUCCUUCCUUGGGAUCCGUGCCGUAGCUAACGCAUUAA